rnacentral:miRNA from 8 species
CAACUCCUGGGGUUGCUAUUCA